rnacentral:rRNA from 1 species
UUCGUAGUGACCUGCGGAGGACAUUAAAGAAUCGCCCCGUUUUUUAUAAAUGGGUUCUAUUCCCAAACCGUGUAUACAUACCUUUGUUGCUUUGGCAGGCCGCCUCCGGGCGUCGGCUCCGGCUGAUAGUGCCUGCCAGAGGACCCAAACUCUGUGUUUAGUGAUGUCUGAGUACUAUAUAAUAGUUAAAACUUUCAACAACGGAUCUCUUGGUUCUGGCAUCGAUGAAGAACGCAGCGAAAUGCGAUAAGUAAUGUGAAUUGCAGAAUUCAGUGAAUCAUCGAAUCUUUGAACGCACAUUGCGCCCCUUGGUAUUCCGAGGGGCAUGCCUGUUCGAGCGUCAUUAUAACCACUCAAGCCUGGCUUGGUAUUGGGGUUCGCGGGUUUCGCGGCCCUUAAAAUCAGUGGCGGUGCCGUCUGGCUCUAAGCGUAGUAAAUCUCUCGCUAUAGGGUCCGGACGGUUGCUUGCCAAAACCCCCCUAUUUUCUCAGGUUGACCUCGGAUCAGGUAGGGAUACCCGCUGAACUUAAGCAUAUCAU